UGACGCGCUCAGGAGACGGAGAUGUUUGGAGGAAACGCCGAAGGUCUGCAGACACCCGGAAGGAGCGUCAUCAAGUUGCUGUCUCUGGAGAUUUUGAGAAGCAUCAAAGUCCUUCAGUAUGAGCUCAAAGAGGCAGCAGGAAAAUCCAGAUUCUCCGUAGAAAAACGCCAUUUUAGCUGGAAAGUUCUCCAGUUUCCAUGGAUUCAUUCAAUGGACGGAUGUUGA
rnacentral:lncRNA from 1 species